GACGAACGCUGGCGGCGUGCUUAACACAUGCAAGUCGAACGAAGUGGCGAACGGGUGAGUAACGCGUAAUCAACCUGCACUUCAGAGGGGGACAACAGUUGGCAACGACUGCUAAUACCGCAUACUGAAGGAGGGGAUUGCGUUUGAUUCGGUCGUUGGAGGGGUAACGGCCCACCAAGGCGAUGAUCAGUAGCCGGUCUGAGAGGAGGAACGGCCAACAUGGGACUGGGGCACGGCCCAGAGUCCUACGGGAGGGAGGAGGGGGGAAAUUUCGGCAAGGGGGGAAAGGCUGACGGAGGAAAGGCGCGGGGGUGAAGACGGCCUUCGGGUUGGAAAGCUCUGUUAAUCGGGAAGCGGUACCGGAAGAGAAAGCAACGGCUAACUACGUGCCAGCCGCCGCGGUAAUAC
rnacentral:rRNA from 1 species